rnacentral:rRNA from 1 species
GAUGAACGCUGGCGGCGUGCUUAACACAUGCAAGUCGAACGGAGAACUUAUUCGGUGGGGCCUCUUGGCGUACGGGCGAGUAAGUCGUUGGCAAGUUGCUCCCGUCCCUGGGAUAACUCCAUGACUUUGGGGCUAAUACCCGAUGAUCACCGCUUCUCGUAAGGGUGGUGGUGGAAUGGGUUUACGGCUGGGGAUGGGCACGCGGCCUAUGAGCUUGUACGGGGGGUAGUGGUCUACCAAGGCGACGUCGGGUAGGCGGCCUGAGAGGGUAACCGGCCACACGGGGACUGAGACACGGCCCAGACGCCAACGGGAGGCAGCAGUGGGGAAUAUUGCGCAAUAGGCGGAAGCCUGACGCAGCGACGCCGCGAGGGGGAUGACGGCCUUCGGGUUGUAAACCUCUUUCAGCAGGGACGAAGCGCAAGUGACGGUACCUGCAGAAGAAGCACCGGCCAACUACGUG